rnacentral:rRNA from 1 species
AAUCACUUAACGAGGAUCAAUUGGAGGGCAAGUCUGGUGCCAGCAGCCGCGGUAAUUCCAGCUCCAAUAGUGUAUAUUAAGGUUGUUGCAGUUAAAAAGCUCGUAGUUGAACUUCUGGCCGUGCACAGUUUGGCGUUUACGCCGGCUGUGUGCUGCCAUCCGUCUGCAAACUCUAAACAACCUUGAGUGGCUUGGUGGGGGGAGUAGACAUUUUACUUUGAAAAAAUUAGAGUGUUUCAAGCAGGUUAUUGCCAGAAUACUUUAGCAUGGAAUAAUGGAAUAGGACUCUGUCCAUUUGGUUGGUUAUUGGACCAGAGUAAUGAUUAACAGGGACAGUUGGGGGCAUUAGUAUUUAAUUGUCAGAGGUGAAAUUCAUGGAUUUAUUAAAGACUAACUUAUGCGAAAGCAUUUGCCAAGGAUGUUUUCAUUAAUCAAGAACGAAAGUUAGGGGAUCAAAGACGAUCAGAUACCGUCCUAGUCUUAACUAUAAACGAUGUCGACUCGGGAUUGGAAAGGUAUAUGUAUCCUUUCCAGCACCGUAUGAGAAAUCAUUAAGUCUUUGGAUUCUGGGGGGAGUAUGGUCGCAAGGCUGAAACUUAAAGGAAUUGACGGAAGAGCACCACCAGGCGUGGGACCUGCGGCUUAAUUUGACCCAACACGGGAAAGCUUAUUUCAGCAGAGCAUGAGUGGGAUUGACAGAUUGAGAGCUCUUUCUUGAUUUUAUGGGGUGUGGUGCAUGGCCGUUCUUAGUUGGUGGAGUGAUUUGUUUGGUUAAUUCCGUUAACGAACGAGACCUUAACCUGCUAACUAGUCAGCGUGUUAAACUACGCGUUGUACUUCUUAGAGGGACUAUGGGUAAUAAGCCCAUGGAGGUUUGAGGCAAUAACAGGUCUGUGAUGCCCAUAGAUGUUGAAAGCGGCACGCGCGUCAUACUGUCCAGUAACAGCAAGUUUACUUCCUCUACCGGCAGGUUAGGGGUAAUCUACAAAACUGGACGUGGUAGGGAUAGAUCUUUGGAAUUAUAGAUCUUGAACGAAGAAUGCCUAGUAAGUGCAAGUCAUCAACUUGUGCUGAUUACGUCCCUGUCCUUUGUACACACCGCCCGUCGCUCCUACCGAUUUCGAGCGAUAUGGUGAAUCUCCUGGACCGUGAAGCUCACUUUGUGCUUCGUGGAAAGUUUAGUAAACCUUAUCGCUUAGAGGAAGGAAAAGUCGUAACAGGGUA